rnacentral:rRNA from 1 species
AGUGAACGCUGGCGGUAGGCCUAACACAUGCAAGUCGAACGGCAGCACAGUAAGAGCUUGCUCUUACGGGUGGCGAGUGGCGGACGGGUGAGGAAUACAUCGGAAUCUACUUUUUCGUGGGGGAUAACGUAGGGAAACUUACGCUAAUACCGCAUACGACCUACGGGUGAAAGCAGGGGAUCUUCGGACCUUGCGCGAUUGAAUGAGCCGAUGUCGGAUUAGCUAGUUGGCGGGGUAAAGGCCCACCAAGGCGACGAUCCGUAGCUGGUCUGAGAGGAUGAUCAGCCACACUGGAACUGAGACACGGUCCAGACUCCUACGGGAGGCAGCAGUGGGGAAUAUUGGACAAUGGGCGGAAGGCUGAUCCAGCCAUACCGCGUGGGUGAAGAAGGCCUUCGGGUUGUAAAGCCCUUUUGUUGGGAAAGAAAAGCAGCAGGUUAAUACCCCGCUGUUCUGACGGUACCCAAAGAAUAAGCACCGGCUAACUUCGUG